UACUUGUUAAUGAAAGAGAGACUGAUUAGAAACAGUUAGAAUGUUAAAUGGGAAACUGCAUCUUAAGGAGGUUGGAGUUUUCGAUGGGGUAGCCUAUGAUGAGUUAACUUGUCAGUAGUCUACACUGUCAGGCCUAAGGAGCCUGUCAUUUACCAUUUGGGGAAACCGAAGAAUAGCAUAUGCAUGCUUGUACACAGCGUCCGAGAGGAUACGAUAUCACAGGAGAAACAGAGUGUCGACUAGAAGAAAGCUCCAGCAAAAGGGAUGGCACACUGAGAGCUUUGAGACCGAGCCACGAGACGAGGAUGGGAGAGAGUGACGGCCAUUUUGAAGGACUGUUCCAAGCGGUGGCAGCUCUUCCUGCGGCUCUCUGUCUCCCUGCUGGCAGACAGGAAGUGGCUCCACACCUGCUGUCCUGCCGGUGCUUUGAUCAACACUCCAGUGAAAAUUCCUCUGUUUCCACAAAACUGAAGACUGAGAAGAAAGAGAUCAAGAGAGAGAAGGAGAGAGACAGAGAAAGAAAGAUGGGAUAGUGGGGGAUGAGAAAGUGGUAGCCUGAAAAAUCUUCAAACGCUCUGCCCUUCAGAUGCCUGUGCUUAAACCAUCCGUGGUGUAAUAGAUGUCACGGCCAAUCUGACAGAACUCCAAACGGCCGUGUCUCUGGCUGAAGGCAGGCUUGAGGCAGUGAAGUGUACACUAGAGCUGUACUCUCAUACUCUCAUGGAGUAACACCACGCUAUGAAGGGAGGAUCUGAUAUCUGUCAUCUCUCAGUCAGACAACAGCUUCUUCCUGAGUAUCCCUCCCUGUCUCUCUCAUCCUCCUUUGUCCCCUCUCUCUCUUUUUUUCUCUUUCUUUCUUUCCCUCUCUCACUCACUCACUCUUUCUCGUUGUCUUUGUCCUUUCUCUGUCCUGAAUACAGCAGUUGCAGGGGACAGUCUGAAAUAACAGUGAUCUUGUGAUGUGGAUAUGCCUAUAUGUCUGCAGGGUUCAAGGUGCUAUAACUUCCAUACAUGCACUUCAGAACUCAGACAUAAUUCAUAACUCACAAUAAAUACAUAAGCCAGAGCACAUAGCCAACACCACGGACCAUAUGCUAUACACUUCUUCCAGUAAAGAGAGUAAUCUAUCUCUCUGUCAGUUGAUGUUAUGGUAUUGUCAGAGCGAGAGAAAGGGAAAGAAUGGAACAGGGAGAAAGAGGCAAGCAUGGGAGACUUACCAGGGGAAUGCAGGAUUGAGGCCCCACCAGAGCAAAGUUAAUCCUCUGCAGGUGUGUCAGAGAGAGAGCGAGAGAGAGAGAGAAAGAGAGAGAGGGGGGGGGACUGA